GACGAACGCUGGCGGCGCGCCUAACACAUGCAAGUCGAACGAGCAAAGAGGAGCUUGCUUCUCUGAGCGAGUGGCGAACGGGUGAGUAACGCGUGAGGAACCUGCCUCAAAGAGGGGGACAACAGUUGGAAACGACUGCUAAUACCGCAUAAGCCCACGGGUCGGCAUCGACCAGAGGGAAAAGGAGCAAUCCGCUUUGAGAUGGCCUCGCGUCCGAUUAGCUAGUUGGUGAGGUAACGGCCCACCAAGGCGACGAUCGGUAGCCAGACUGAGAGGUUGAACGGCCACAUUGGGACUGAGACACGGCCCAGACUCCUACGGGAGGCAGCAGUGGGGAAUAUUGCACAAUGGGGGAAACCCUGAUGCAGCGACGCCGCGUGAGCGAAGAAGUAUUCGGUAUGUAAGCUCUAUCAGCAGGGAAGAAAAAAAUAGACGGUACCUGACUAAGAAGACCCCGGCUAACUACGUG
rnacentral:rRNA from 1 species